GAUGAACGCUGGCGGCGUGCCUAAUACAUGCAAGUCGAGCGAACGGACGAGAAGCUUGCUUCUCUGAUGUUAGCGGCGGACGGGUGAGUAACACGUGUAUAACCUACCUAUAAGACUGGGAUAACUUCGGGAAACCGUAGCUAAUACCGGAUAAUAUUUUGAACCGCAUUGUUCAAAAGUGAAAGACGGUCUUGCUGUCACUUAUAGAUGGAUCCGCGCUGCAUUAGCUAGUUGGUAAGGUAACGGCUUACCAAGGCAACGAUGCAUAGCCGACCUGAGAGGGUGAUCGGCCACACGGGAACUGAGACACGGUCCAGACUCCUACGGGAGGCAGCAGUAGGGAAUCUUCCGCAAUGGGCGAAAGCCUGACGGAGCAACGCCGCGUGAGUGAUGAAGGUCUUCGGAUCGUAAAACUCUGUUAUUAGGGAAGAACAUAUGUGUAAGUAACUGUGCACAUCUUGACGGUACCUAAUCAGAAAGCCCCGGCUAACUACGUG
rnacentral:rRNA from 1 species